rnacentral:rRNA from 1 species
UCUUGCGCAAUGGGCGAAAGCCUGACGCAGCGACGCCGCGUGCGGGAUGACGGCCUUCGGUUGUAAACCGCUUUCAGCAGGGACGAGGCCGCAAGGUGACGGUACCUGCAGAAGAAGCCCCGGCUAACUACGUGCC